rnacentral:ribozyme from 1 species
CACUUGGUUUUAAGAAGAAAUCUUAUCGCUAGUUUUUGGAUAUCAGUUAGAAUCAUAUGCGAUUUUGGCCCAGCUCCGCCCAGCGUGAGUGUGGAACUUCCAGGUUAGAAGUGUUUGUUAUAGAGUGUCUUGGGUAUAGAGAU